AUAUUACUAAGCGGAGGAAAAGAAAUUAACAAAGAUUGCCUUAGUAAGGGCGACUGAACCGGCAUAAGCUCGAAAUUGGAAUCGAAGAUUCAAAGAAUCUUCGAAUUGUAAUCAGGUCUGCCUAAAUACGAAAGUUCGCUUAAGCAUGUCGAAACGUGCGCCAUAGAGGGUGAAAGUCCCGUGUAGCGUUCUUUCGAGUAAGGUGGAUUCCACAAGAGUCGGGUUGCUUGGAACUGCAGCCCUAAGUGGGAGAUAUGAAUCUUCCAAAGCUAAAUAUGGAUGGGAGACCGAUAGCGCACAAGUA
rnacentral:rRNA from 1 species